rnacentral:rRNA from 1 species
GACGAACGCUGGCGGCGUGCCUAACACAUGCAAGUGGAGCGACGAACCAGGGCUUGCCCUGGGGCAAAGCCGCGAACGGGUGAGUAACACGUGGGUAACCUGCCCCGAUGACCGGGACAACCCGAGGAAACUCGGGCUAAUACCGGAUGUGCUCGCGAGCCACAAGGCUCGCGCGGAAAGGAAGCUUCGGCCUCCGCAUCGGGAUGGGCCCGCGGCCCAUUAGCUUGUUGGUGGGUAACGGCCCACCAAGGCUG